rnacentral:rRNA from 1 species
UGUCGUCAGCUCGUGUCGUGAGAUGUUGGGUUAAGUCCCGCAACGAGCGCAACCCUUAUUGUUAGUUGCUACCAUUUAGUUGAGCACUCUAGCGAGACUGCCCGGGUUAACCGGGAGGAAGGUGGGGAUGACGUCAAAUCAUCAUGCCCCUUAUGUCUAGGGCUACACACGUGCUACAAUGGUCGGUACAAUGAGAUGCAACCUCGCGAGAGUGAGCAAAACUAUAAAACCGAUCUCAGUUCGGAUUGUAGGCUGAAACUCGCCUACAUGAAGCUGGAGUUGCUAGUAAUCGCGAAUCAGAAUGUCGCGGUGAAUACGUUCCCGGGCCUUGUACACACCGCCCGUCACACCAUGAGAGUUGGCAAUACCCAAAGUUCGUGAGCUAACCGCAAGGAGGCAGCGACCUAAGGUAGGGUCAGCGAUUGGGGUGAAGUCGUAACAAGGUAGCCGUAGGAGAACCUGCGGCUGGAUCACCUCCUUUCUAUGGA